rnacentral:rRNA from 1 species
AUUGAACGCUGGCGGAAUGCUUUACACAUGCAAGUCGAACGGUAACAGGUCUUCGGAUGCUGACGAGUGGCGAACGGGUGAGUAAUAUAUCGGAACGUGCCCAGUCGUGGGGGAUAACGUAGCGAAAGUUACGCUAAUACCGCAUACGAUCUAUGGAUGAAAGCGGGGGAUCGCAAGACCUCGCGCGACUGGAGCGGCCGAUAUCAGAUUAGGUAGUUGGUGGGGUAAAGGCUCACCAAGCCAACGAUCUGUAGCUGGUCUGAGAGGACGACCAGCCAGCCUGGAUGUGAGGCAGGGUACAGACACCUACGGGAGGAAGCAGUGGGGAAUUUUGGACAAUGGACGCAAGUCUGAUCCAGCCAUUCCGCGUGCAGGAUGAAGGCCCUCGGGUUGUAAACUGCUUUUGUACGGAACGAAAAGGUCUCUCCUAAUACGAGGGGCUCAUGACGGUACCGUAAGAAUAAGCACCGGCUAACUACGUGCCAGCCGCCGCCGUAAAAC